rnacentral:lncRNA from 1 species
CGCUCGGGGACGACUCUGCGCGCCUCUCCGGGCCAAUGGCGGCCGCCCGCGGUGCGCGGGGUUCUGGGAGUUGUAGUCCGCGCGGCGGCGGCUGGGCUCGCUCGCAAGCCGAGGCGCCGCCAUGACGGAGCGGCCCUGGCCGGAGCGGAGCCCGCGCGCGCCGGGGCAGAAAGCCCCUCCACCCUCGUUUGUCCACUCCAGACCCCACUCGGCCCAGCCCAAGUUGUCCCUCCCCCCCACCAGCCAGCAGCCCAGAACCUGACACAGUGUCAACGGCAAAUCUCGGUGCCCACCGCAGACUUCAUCCCAGGACCCUGGAGGGUGCUGAGGGGCUGCGGUUCUUCACCCUGGAAUCUGCCUGGGGCGCACUUCCCUGCUCACCGGAGAGAAGGGGGUGACGGAGCUUAUAAACGCCCAGUCAGGCUGCCCGCGGCAAGAAGCAGGCUCGAAGAUUGCUGGCAGGGCACAGCCCUCGUGAGUCGCCCUCCCUGCGUUUGUACAUCUCGCCUUCCUGAUUGUAAAACCCACACACGUGCACAUGAAAAGUUCUCCAGAGUCUCAAGAAGGAAAAAGUCACGUGGAAUACUCCUCCACUUUUCACUUGUCAUAAGCAUUUCCCAUGUCAUUAAAAAUCCUUCCUAAAUGUUUUUGUUCUUUUUUUUUUUUUCUUCAUGAUGAAGGUCAAACAUGAUCAAAAUACCAUUUGGGGGAGAUAAAGAGAAGUAUGAAGAACACAGCAUAUGGCUGGCUGCCCUUGGGCCUCUCCUGGCGGCCCUUUUUGGGACCCUCAUAUAUCAUUUUGCAUCCCACUUUCCCCUGUACCUCAUAUCAUCUGUAUGUCAUGUCUGCUUCCCUUGAGCAUGUUAUGUUACCGUGUAUUUCGCAGUCAUAAAUGCUCCGCCAUGUGAUGGGAGGGUAGUUGAUCUCACCAGGCUUGACUGUUGGGCACUUUUGUUGUGAUUCUUAGUGCCUAAAUCUUUGUCCCAAUUUCAGAUAAAUUCCACAGCAUGCGAACUUCCAGAAUGGUCUUGAUACACAAGCUGCCACAGUGCUUUCCAGAAAGGUCGUGCCAGUUUGUACUUUCACCAUUGGAUCAGCGCAGAGUACAUGUGUUAAAGAAAAAAAAAAUCUGCUCAUUUUUAUUUUUACAACUUUAACGUUUUCUUCAGUUACAUGUUCACUAUAGAAAGCUUGGAAAAGGCACAAAAUGCUAUUUUUUCACUGCCCUUCCCACUUUCCCUCUGUUUUUAAAGUAUCUUUCCCCCCUUGUCCUCCUCACCGCCUCCUCCCUCAGCCUUAACUUAGAAAAGGCAAGAAAGACAGCAUAGGCAGGGCAGGAGGCCUCUGUUGUGCUAUUACGUAGCAUAUCUGGCUGUUAUCAUUUAAAGGGAAUUUAAAAGUCCAGUUUCUUAUUUCAAGUGCUCAGGAGCCACAUAUUAGCCUGUGGCUACCAUGCUGGAUGGCACAGAUGGAGAGCAUUUCCAAACCCAUAAGAAGUUCUGCUGGGCAGUGCUGGCUACUCCACCAAGGCAGGAAUCCCAUUCCCCUAGAUGCUCAGUAAACCGUGUGUUGAAUGACUAAAUGAGUGAAGGAGGCAGAUGUAUGCUAAGUAAGGAAAUGAGGUAUGCUCAUGAUGAGGUAAGAGUUGUGAAGACAGCACAGUGAAGAUGAGACAAGGGUGAUGGCCUGAGCCAGGACGUGGUGACAUCCUGCUGUGGUGACAGCUGGGCUAGGAUGAACAUCAGAGAGUAGUGUGGGUGGGAACAGUAGGUACAAAGGCCCUGGGGUGACCAGUGCCUUGUCUUCAACACAAUGUAACCCAUGAGGGUCAUAUGGAAGGAGAUUAGGUCAGAAUGAGAUGGGGAGGGGUCAGGUCAGUUCCUUGGGAGCUAGAGGUCAGGGCAAGGAGGUGGGGAGUGAGGGGAGUCCUGAGCAAGGUGGUGGUCACCAUCUGAUGUGGCCACUUUGCGCCUGCCCCUUUCUGCAGGCCCCUGACUGCUGACUGCAUCCGCCUGCUGCCACCUGGGUUUGUCUGGAGCUGCUGGGACUGUCCUGGGAUCCAGCCUGCU